GCGGGACCGAGGCCUCGCCCCGGGGCCGCCCAGCGGGGGCGAGGGGACGGAGCGCGGCGGAAGCGCUCGGGCACCGCCGGGUUGACACACAGGCCAUUGGAAACAAUGCUCAGCUAGAUCACAUCUUCUAUCCCCUCACACCGCGCGUAGCGGACCCUGUCAAGGCUCAUCGGUCACACUAGACAGUAAUUUUCAGCUUACUCGUGCCAGAUAAGUGAACUGACCUGUAACAGCAAUAUGGCUGGAGUAUGCAGAGAACUAUACAGAAGUCCUUUGACCAAGAAAAUUA